rnacentral:rRNA from 1 species
AACACGAGGUAAUGAUUAAGAGGGACAGACGGGGGCAUUCGUAUUGCGACGCUAGAGGUGAAAUUCUUGGACCGUCGCAAGACGAACUACUGCGAAAGCAUUUGCCAAGAAUGUUUCCAUUAAUCAAGAACGAAAGUUAGAGGUUCGAAGGCGAUCAGAUACCGCCCUAGUUCUAACCAUAAACGAUGCCAGCUGGUAAUCCGCCUGUGUUCCUCAAAUGACACGGCGGGCGACUUCCGGGAAACCAAAGCUUUUGGGUUCCGGGGGAAGUAUGGUUGCAAAGCUGAAACUUAAAGGAAUUGACGGAAGGGCACCACCAGAAAUGGAGCCUGCGGCUUAAUUUGACUCAACACGGGAAAACUUACCCGGCCCGGACACAGGAAGGAUUGACAGAUUAAGAGCUCUUUCUUGAUUCUGUGGGUGGUGGUGCAUGGCCGUUCUUAGUUGGUGGGGCGACUUGUCUGGUUAAUUCCGAUAACGAACGAGACUCUAGCCUACUAAAUAGACGUUCCGAUCCUCUUUCGUCGGACGUUCUUCUUAGAGGGACAAGCGGCGUUUAGCCGCACGAGACAGAGCAAUAACAGGUCUGGGAUGCCCUUAGAUGUCCGGGGCCGCACGCGCGCUACAUUGAAGGAAUCAGC